rnacentral:rRNA from 1 species
UACGUAGGUGGCAAGCGUUGUCCGGAUUUACUGGGCGUAAAGAGCGCGCAGGCGGUCGUUCAAGUCGCGUGUGAAAGCCCCCGGCUCAACUGGGGAGGGUCACGCGAUACUGAUCGACUCGAAGGCAGGAGAGGGAAGUGGAAUUCCCGGUGUAGUGGUGAAAUGCGUAGAUAUCGGGAGGAACAUCAGUGGCGAAGGCGGCUGCCUGGCCCAAUACUGACACUCAGGUGCGACAGCGUGGGGAGCAAACAGG